rnacentral:rRNA from 1 species
GACAGAGGGUGCAAACGUUGCUCGGAAUUACUGGGCGUAAAGCGCGUGUAGGCGGGCCGAUAAGUCAGGCGUGAAAUCCCCGAGCUCAACUCGGGAACUGCACCUGAAACUGUCGGCCUAGAGUGAUGGAGAGGGUAGCGGAAUUCCUGGUGUAGAAGUGAAAUUCGUAGAUAUCAGGAGGAACACCGGUGGCGAAGGCGACUACCUGGACAUUAACUGACGCUGAGACGCGAAAGCGUGGGGAGCCAAACAGG